rnacentral:lncRNA from 1 species
AAGCGACAUAAGACACUAUGUGCUGCAGAGACCCAGCCAGGAGGCCAACAGCGAGGCUCUUAGUUCUGUGGAAUGCCAUUCUUUUCCUUGCUCUUCUGAUGUGGAUCCAGGUAAUAAAAACAGUUUAAAACAAACUAACAUAAAAACAAUUUAGCAGAUACACUGGUGUGUGAUUGUUUCUCCUUCUUCCAGUAGCAGAUCUCAGAGAAAUGAUUUAUUGUCCUACGUAGAAAAACAUAAUAACCCAAGCAAAGCUGUAGGGAGAGACUUCAAAGGACAGCCUCCCCGAUGUAACAAUAAG